UACGGGGGGGGGCAAGCGUUGUUCGGAAUUACUGGGCGUAAAGGGCUCGUAGGCGGCCAACUAAGUCAGAUGUGAAAUCCCCAGGCUUAACCUGGGAACUGCAUCUGAUACUGGAUGGCUUGAAUCCGGGAGAGGGAUGCAGAAUUCCAGGUGUAGCGGUGAAAUGCGUAGAUAUCUGGAGGAAUACCGGUGGCGAAGGCGGCAUCCUGGACCGGCAUUGACGCUGAGGAGCGAAAGCUGAGGGGAGCAAACGGG
rnacentral:rRNA from 1 species